rnacentral:rRNA from 1 species
GACAGAGGCCUCGAGCGUUAGGCGGAAUCACUGGGCUUAAAGCGUGUGUAGGUGGACUUCUAAGUGCUUUGUGAAAUCCCACGGCUCAACCGUGGAAAUGCUUGGCAUACUGGGAGUCUUGAGCCAUCUAGGGGCAACUGGAACAGACGGUGGAGCGGUGAAAUGCGUAGAUAUCGUCUGGAACGCCAAUGGUGAAGACAGGUUGCUGGGGAUGUGCUGACACUGAGACACGAAAGCCAGGGGAGCGAACGGG